rnacentral:rRNA from 1 species
AUUAACGCUGGCGGCGUGCAUGAGACAUGCAAGUCGAACGGACGGGCGAGCUUGCUCGCCCGUUAGUGGCGGACGGCUGAGUAACGCGUGGGUGACCUGCCCCGAAGUGGGGAAUAACUGCCCGAAAGGGUGGCUAAUACCGCAUGUGGUGACUGGUUCGUUCCAGUCUCCAAAGCCGCAAGGCGCUUCGGGAGGGGCCUGCGUCCGAUUAGCUCGUUGGUGGGGUAACGGCUCACCAAGGCGCCGAUCGGUAGGUG